GACGAACGCUGGCGGCGCGCUUAACACAUGCAAGUCGAGCGAUGAAACUUUAACAGAACCCUUCGGGGCGAAGAUAAAGUGGAUUAGCGGCGGACGGGUGAGUAACACGUGAGUAACUUGCCUUAGACAUUGGGAUAGCCUCGGGAAACCGGGAUUAUUACCAAAUAAAAUCAUAUUGACACAUGUCAUAACGACCAAAACUCCGGUGGUCUAAGAUGGACUCGCGUCCCAUUAGCUAGUUGGUAGAGUAAAAGCCUACCAAGGCGACGAUGGGUAGCCGGCCUGAGAGGGUGAACGGCCACAUUGGAACUGAGAAACGGUCCAAACUCCUACGGGAGGCAGCAGUGGGGAAUAUUGCACAAUGGAGGGAACUCUGAUGCAGCGACGCCGCGUGAACGAAGAAGGCUUUCGAGUCGUAAAGUUCUUUUAUAUGGGAAGAUAAUGACGGUACCAUAAGAAAAAGCCCCGGCUAACUACGUG
rnacentral:rRNA from 1 species